CUAAAAUACUCUUAAAAAUCAAGAUUUUUUCCGUAAAAAUAUAUCCAAAAAAGUGGAAAAGAACUCAUAUAUGUGAUUUACUCGACACUACAUUGCUCUUUAUGCAGUUCCAUCAAAAACUACAUCAUAAUUAACAAACCUCUCCUCCUCCAGCUCUAGAUUGUUUCCGCUAAUUGUUGGAAUUAUAAACUACUAUGGCUGACGAAGAACCUGUAGAUCCAAAGAGGGAACUUGAAGAUCGUUGCAAGGCACCAUGCACGAGGCCACUUAAAGAAUAUCAGACUUGGUUGAAGUUGAACAUUGUAGAAAGAAUUGGACAAGUGGAUAGGUGGUGUAAUUUUUCAAAUUCGAUAGUAGAACAAGCAAAACCUUUGGAGAUCAUGUAGUUUUAGUUGUGGCACACCUGUAAGGC